UAUGUGUAGUAAAUGCACCUUUUCUACAAAGUACAGGUAUUGAUUACAUUACGAGGCACUGCUUUAUACUUUGUGGUUUCUCAGGGGUCCCUAUGUAGGGCAGAUCUCAGAGACAAUGGAGAGCAUUGCCUUUCUCUUUCCACUCUCUAUGAUUAUUUGUGAUUUUUUAUAUCCUCAGGUGUCAGUUUUAUACGUUCAUUAUCAUAACGUACAUUUCACCAUUUUUCCGGUUUCUCUAAAACCAAAAUUUAUUUCUGUUACAAAUCCUGAAUCAAAAUAUAGAGUGUUAUUCAUGGAAGCCUAGUUAUAUUUGUUAGUGGUGUAUGUCCAUCUGGGGCAAUACACUUAUGUCGGUAUUCAGAAGUUAAAUUCUUUGAAGCAUUUUUGCUUAAUGCUUGACUGUAGCAGUAGUCUACUCUUCUUUAUGUUUUGUGUCUGAAAAACUAAUGGUACCAAACUUUUUUUUACUUAGAACUGGGAUCAUAGACUUUCUGUAAAAACUGAAGAAGAAAAGGAAGAAAUGUCCAGAGGUACACAAAACUCCAGGGAUCUUGGAUGCUUAAAGAAACACCAACAAACAUGUAGUCUUUCAAAAGGGAGGGAGUAGUUACGUUCUCUAAACUUGCUUAAAGCUUCUUUGCAAAAGACCUGUUAUAAACUCUAUUAAAAUAAAAAGGACUACUUUGACUUCAGUAGGAUUUGGAUCAAUAAAGAAGAGUCCAGAUCGCUCAGUUUCACACAAGAAGGAAUAUUUUUGCUUACUAAAAAAUAAAUUCUUUUCAGGAAGAAAAUCUCAUCGUAAACAAGCCAGUGCAUCAUGGCAGAAAGUUAAGUUAAACUGCUUCAUUGAGAAUUAUUGCUGAUUAAGAAUUGAUUCCUCUCAUUUUUUAGUCACACAGCUAUUUAGUUAGUUUUCAGCUGGUGUCAGGUGAUGUCCUCCUGUGAAUUUUCAUAACCUGAAAGGAGAACACAGGGCUGUUGUCAGCACUGCUGAGGUUCACUCUUUUUACUGUACUGCCUGUUCUACAUGGUUUCCGUACAAAAUCAUAAAUCAUGCAGAGUUCCUUCUUGUACUGCAGACAGCUAUUUUGUUAAAGCUCACUGACACUUGUGGGCUUUUCAGCAAUUUUAGCUUACAGUAAAACAUACCCAGAAGAAUCUACCGUGUUAUGUAUCAAUAUUGAUACUAUUUGAUGUAUUUUCACAGAAAUUACCUCAGGAUCCCCAGAACUCAGAACUCAAACUGCUUUAACACCUGCUCCUUCCAAAUCAGCUACAAUUGCAAGAGAAACCAUUGCAUUUUGAGCUCUGUACCCACCCUUGGCUUGCAAAUCUGCUUACAAAUUUUCUUUUCAUUCGCACCAGAUUCACCAGGCUCAAAUUUCCAAUGACACUGCGGUUAUGACUGCUUGUUUACCCCAGUUAAAACAAUGUAAAUGUAUUCUCAUGUCCUCUAGUUUACUCUCUGUAGUUUUCACAUGUUUUCACUUGAUUUAAACUCUAUAGAAUACCUGGUAAUCAUAUAGUCAUACCUAGUGAAAUGCUGUUUAUAUUGACUGUGCAAUGGUCUCGGAUGAUGGUGAACAAGGAAGUAGUGUGGUUACAAAUUGCAGUUACGCUUACAGACUGUGAGAUCAUGGCAAAUUAUACUGCUGCAAAAGUGGAAUGAUAAUCUCCUGCUAAUCUAGCUGAGUUCUAAAUGCACAGAGUUGAUUACUAAGCAAGCUUAAUGAGAUGUUUGUGAACUAUGCAAGAAAAAGUUUGUCCAGGAAAUUUGGAGAAAAUUAGAGAUCCAAAAGGAAAAGCAAAUUCAAUCUAAAAUUAUUUUCUUUUGAGGUAUUGUUGGUUAAAAGUGUGUUAUUAUUUUAAGUAAUAAAAUGCAGAAAGAAGGCUUGACUAAAAAAAAACCAUGGUGUGUGCUGCAAAUAGCUUGUGUUGCAUUUACUCGGACUGUUACAUGAAAUAUUUUGUCCAUUUGUAAGGUAAAAUACUGUGCAUACUUUUAAAAGUAAUUUGGAAGAGAAGGUUGGCUUGUUUUGUUUAUUCAGUACCAAGGUGGCAAAAUUUCUGCUCUGCAGAAGAAUCAAGUUAAGAAGGGUGCUGGAUCAGAAGAGAAAAAGAAAACAUUUCAAAAGAGAUGUUCAAGUUAAACCUGCUGAGGCAGGUUUGCUGCUCAAAGAGCACAUUGCAAGUUUUUUAAAAGAAUAAAUAAUUCAGCAGAAACUGCCACAUCGCUGAGACACAGACUCCAUUACUUUCUAAAGAAAAAGCAUGUCAAGUUUCUUUACAGAUGUCUCUGCAGAUAAAGAGACUAUUGGCAGGUGGGGCACAUGCUGCAGAAAACAAGAGUAGAUCACUAAAUAAGAAAUUACAACAGUAAUAAUUGGGGCAGCAACUUUUACAUGAUUCUUCCUUUCACAAAUUUGUCUUACCUGUAGAUGUGGUGUCAAAAGGUAUCUAACAUAUCUGCUGUGCAAUCUUGUUGUUUUUUAUCAGUAACUAGACUGAUGGAUAUAAUUAGUCUAAAACCUUACCAUUGCAUAAUCCCUUUCUAACAGUUUAACAGGAAACUUUAGUUGGAAUUCUUUGGUAAACCUUUGGUAAGUCUUCCUUAUUUCUCAGUCAUCUAAACCUACCUUGUCUACGCUUUUUCUCUUUGAGAAACUCAGAGUGAGGAUUAGGCACAGCUCCAGGCAAAGUAAGAACGUGAUGUUGUGAGGGCUUUAUCUUAUAAAAUAAGAUAUGUAUCUUUAAAAAAUUAUCUUAUAAAUUGCGUUGAGAUGGAUGAGAGGAAUGUCAUCAUAGUGUAGGAAGUGUUGGAGUGGAAUCAGUUUGGAAGCAUUUCUGCAUAUCGCCUGAAAAGUGAGCUUUCAUGGUUAAAAUGUAUUGUGAUAAAAAGUGAAAGUAAGUUUGUUUCUAUUAUCUUUCAACUCUGUUUGUUCUUAGACUGAAAUAACAUUGAGGAAAAUGUAGUAAUCCAUUUGGUAUUUUUAGGUUUUUGCGUGUGGUGCGUGAGGUAUCCUCUUGGGCAGUGUUCCAGAAUCCAAUGUCUCAUGAAGAUCUUCAUGUGACAGAGUUUUCUUAAACCGGACUAGAGUGAGCUGACAGGAGCAAAGGCUUAGAGUUUGGUUUCAUCCCCGUGCCCUCUCUGCAGCAAACCAGCGCUACCUGAUGGGACUCUAGAGGUGGAGGAAAGGAUCUGUGACACUGUCCCUUGCUGCCUUGAGAUUCUGGAGGGGGGAGACAGGAAAAAUGUGUGGGGAUAUGAUGUCACGUCCUCUCUCUUCUAUCACAUAAUGCAGUGAUUGCUGCUGCUGUUCCAUAAUUUUGCAGAGUUUCUGAUGAAGGCCUGCAUCCAGGUGAUAAUAUCUUUCAAAUGUGAGAUGUCAUCACCAUUCAUUAGCUGGCUUUGAAAAAUUUUACGUAGCAUGUGCCAGUAGGCUAAUACACUGUUA